rnacentral:piRNA from 1 species
CCUGGUACAAGAUGAAUGC